rnacentral:rRNA from 11 species
GGUGGCAUAAAUAAUACCCUAAAGAUAUUAGAUCCUGACUGAUCUUAGAAAUAAAGUUGAAUCAGCCCUAGUUAAUACUUGGAUGGAAGAUCUCCAGUGAAUAUCAGGUGCUGUAAGCU